rnacentral:rRNA from 1 species
AGCGAACGCUGGCGGCAGGCCUAACACAUGCAAGUCGAACGAACUCUUCGGAGUUAGUGGCGGACGGGUGAGUAACACGUGGGAACGUGCCUUUUGGUUCGGAAUAACUCAGGGAAACUUGUGCUAAUACCGAAUGUGCCCUUCGGGGGAAAGAUUUAUCGCCAUUAGAGCGGCCCGCGUCUGAUUAGCUAGUUGGUGAGGUAACGGCUCACCAAGGCGACGAUCAGUAGCUGGUCUGAGAGGAUGACCAGCCACACUGGGACUGAGACACGGCCCAGACUCCUACGGGAGGCAGCAGUGGGGAAUCUUGCGCAAUGGGCGAAAGCCUGACGCAGCCAUGCCGCGUGAAUGAUGCAGGUCUUAGGAUUGUAAAAUUCUUUCACCGGGGACGAUAAUGACGGUACCCGGAGAAGAAGCCCCGGCUAACUUCGUG